GAGCUUGCUUACAGGCACAUCAUAUCCUAACACCUGUGCACUUGUCGGAGGGCUUAGUGAAGACCGCAAGGUUGAAUCUAUCCAUCUACUUUACAUAACAAUUCUGUAACAAAUGUAGUCUUAUUAUAACAUAAUAAAACUUUCAACAACGGAUCUCUUGGCUCUCGCAUCGAUGAAGAACGCAGCGAAAUGCGAUAAGUAAUGUGAAUUGCAGAAUUCAGUGAAUCAUCGAAUCUUUGAACGCACCUUGCGCUCCUUGGUAUUCCGAGGAGCAUGCCUGUUUGAGUGUCAUGAAAACCCUCAACCCUAGAUUGGUUAAAACCUUUCUUUGGUUUGGAUUUGGACGUUUGCCGAUGAUAAGUCGGCUCGUCUUAAAAGUAAUAGCUGGAUCUGUCUCGCGACAUGGUUUGACUUGGCGUAAUAAGUAUUUCGCUAAGGACAUCUUCGGAUGGCCGCGUUGCAGGACUAAAGACCGCUUUCUAAUCCAUUGAUCUUCGGAUUAAUACUCUUGACAUCUGGCCUCAAAUCAGGUAGGACUACCCGCUGAACUUAAGCAUAUCAUA
rnacentral:rRNA from 1 species